AUGCACCACAUUUGUUAUCGCUUUACACUCUCACAGCAACGCUCUGGGCAGACUUUACUGUCCUCCGUUCUGUAGGUGAGGAAGCUGAGGAUGAGCAAGGAAGGGUGACCU
ensembl:miRNA